AGUGAACGCUGGCGGCGUGCCUAAUACAUGCAAGUCGAACGGAGUGGCGCACGGGUGAGUAAUAUAUAGCUAAUAUGCCCCUUGCUGGAGGACAACAGUUAGAAAUGACUGCUAAUACCCCAUAGCAAGGGAUGAGACUAUAUCGUAUCAGCUAGUCGGGGGGGUAACGGCCUACCGAGGCUAUGACGCGUAACUGGUCAGAGAGGAUGAUCAGUCACCUUGGAACGGAGACACAGUCGAGACUCCUACUGGAAGCAGCAGUAGGCAAUAUUGCGCAAUGGGAGAAAACCUGACGCAGCAACGCCGCGUGGAGGAUGACACUUUUCGGAGCGUAAACUGCUUUUAUUAGGGAAACGGUACCUAACGUAGAAGCACCGGCUAACUCCGUGCCAGCAGCCGCGGUAAUUC
rnacentral:rRNA from 1 species